rnacentral:rRNA from 1 species
GUGCCAGCCGCCGCGGUAAUACGAAGGGUGCAAGCGUUACUCGGAAUUACUGGGCGUAAAGCGUGCGUAGGUGGUCGUUUAAGUCCGUUGUGAAAGCCCUGGGCUCAACCUGGGAACUGCAGUGGAUACUGGGCGACUAGAGUGUGGUAGGGGGUAGCGGAAUUCCUGGUGUAGCAGUGAAAUGUGUAGAGAUCAGGAGGAACAUCCAUGGCGAAGGCAGCUACCUGGACCAACACUGACACUGAGGCACGAAAGCGUGGGGAGCAAACAGGAUUAGAUACCCUGGUAGUCCACGCCCUUAACGAUGCGAACUGGAUGUUGGGUGCAAUUUAGCACGCAGUAUCGAAGCUAACGCGUUAAGUUCGCCGCCUGGGGAGUACGGUCGCAAGACUGAAACUCAAAGGAAUUGACGGGGGCCCGCACAAGCGGUGGAGUAUGUGGUUUAAUUCGAUGCAACGCGAAGAACCUUACCUGGUCUUGACAUGUCGAGAACUUU